CCCAGAGCUUGGGGAUAUUCUUGCUGCCCUGUGGCAGGUAAACAUAUCCCCCUGCAUGGAAAGCAGCUCCUAGCAUAACUGCUUUGGUCUGGAGUCUUCGUUUUGUCUUAGGGACUAUCCCAUGCAUCAUUAAUCGAGGGGAACAGUGCAGUCCAACCUUAAAAGAGGGGUAGGAAGGGUUGGGUGCCCAGAGCUGGCCCUUGCUGGUUCAGGGUUCUGUCCCCCCAGUAUGGUGGGUGAAUGCUGGGUGCAUGGGCAGGUUCUUGGGGCCCAGAGGAGGUGCUGAUGUGUGGGCCCUGGGUCUGUUAGAGAGCCCUUCCCUCCCCUCUCCUCGCAGCCCACCAUUUCCCAGUGCCGGGCCCUGUUUCUCUGGUCUCCUUGGUGACAAUCUCAUCUCUCCUCGGCUUCUCUCCAGCACCUGAAAAUAGCCUCCGAAAGUGGAGAUGCCUGCUCCCUUCCCUGCUGCCAGCACCCGCGAUGGCCAGGCUGGAGCCAGGCUGCUCUGCACAGCACAGCUGUAAGGGUCUGGCCCCAAGGGCCCCUGCACCACUGCGGGAUUUGGGCCACUCUGUGAGCCAGCACCGAGGCCCCGGCCUCCCCUCCUCCUGCCUGCUGUGAGGCUGCACCAGGGAACUCCUUGUACCCCGCCACGGGCCAGUAUCCAGCUGUCCCCUGCAGCCGGAGACUGUCCCUUUGGCCCUGUAGCUACCAACCCCGCAGCCAGCCCGACAGCCUCCCAGAAAUAGAAAGCGGAGCCGGGAGCGGGCAGAGGGCGAGCAGGAAGGGGUGGCCCCGCGGCAGGGAAGGAGUUACCGCAGGUCGGGCUGCCCCCGCCUGUGGGGUGACAGGGUCGCCGCGGACACUGAGCUGCAGCAGGAUCUCGGGCAGGGACAGGCAGGGCUGGGCAGCGUCGACAAAAUGGUCGGCACCCACCCAGCCCAUGGCAGGACCCAGCCCUUCUCCAGCAUCCCCUGGAGGGGGGAACGCUGUGCCCCCCACCGCGUCCCUGGCUCCUGGGGGACGGGGGUCCGCGGAGAGGGGUGUCCCUCCGCUCUCUGCCCCCUGCCAUCCCUCCAUCGCCCCCUCCCUCGGGUCCCCAGGACCAGCGCUGCCCCCGGGCCCGCCGAGUUCAGCCCGAGGCUGCUCGGGGCCGCGGGCGCUGCUCGGUGGUGUCGGCCGUGUCCCCCCCCCGGCGGUGGCGGUGGGGGCAUGGCUGGCAUUGCUCGCUGACACUCUAUCUGCCAGGGCCACGCCAGCCGCGGGCCCAGAAUAGCAGCGCUGCCCCGCAGAUAGCAUGGAGCAGCUCCGCGGCCCCGCCGCGUCCCAGGUGGCGCUGCGGGAUGCUGUUGUGUGCCCUGAGGAGGAAGGGUUUCCGAAGGCUGUAUGCUCCAGGGAGGAGGAAGAGGAGGAGGAGGAAGAGGAAGAAUACAGGAGACCUGUCACCUUCACACUGGGAAAUGAGAUACUGGGGCUGGGCCCACAGGCUGAGUUUCAGACCCCUGAUGCUGAGGCCUAUAUGCACUUCUUGAGGAGCCACUGCUGCUAUGAUGCCAUCCCCACCAGCUGCAAGCUCGUUGUCUUUGACAUCUCCCUGGAGAUCAAGAAAGCCUUUUUGGCACUGGUGGCCAACGGGGUUCGUGCUGCCCCUCUCUGGGACAGCAAGACGCAGAGCUUUGUGGGGAUGCUCACCAUCACCGACUUCAUCAACAUCCUCCACCGCUACUACCGCUCACCCCUGGUUCAGAUCUACGAGGUGGAGGAGCACAAGAUUGAGACCUGGAGAGAGGUGUACCUGCAGGGCUCCCUCAAGCCACUGGUCUACAUCUCUCCGAGCAAUAGCCUCUUUGAUGCUGUCUACUCCCUGAUCAAGCACAAAAUCCACCGCCUGCCUGUCAUUGAGCCUGUCUCGGGCAAUGUCCUGCACAUCCUGACGCACAAGCGCAUCCUCAAGUUUCUCCACAUCUUUGCUUCUACCAUCCCCAAGCCACGCUUCCUGAAGAAAACAGUGCAGGAACUGUGCAUUGGCACCUUCCGUGAUCUGGCUGUGGUGGCUGAGACUGCCCCAAUCUACACUGCCUUGGAGAUUUUUGUGGAUCGCCGCGUCUCCGCCUUGCCUGUCAUCAAUGAUGCUGGGCAAGUGGUUGGCCUGUACUCGCGGUUUGAUGUCAUUCACCUGGCGGCCCAGAAGACCUACAACAACCUGGACAUCAGUGUGAGGGAGGCACUGCAGCAACGCAGUGUCUGCCUGGAGGGGGUCCUCACCUGCUACCCCCAUGAGCCUAUGGAGGACAUCAUUGACCGCAUUGCCAAGGAGCAGGUCCAUCGCCUGGUUCUGGUGGAUGAGAACCGGUACCCGCAGGGCAUCGUCUCCCUCUCUGACAUCCUGCAGGCCCUUGUGCUCACUCCUGCAGGUAUUGAUGCUCUUAACUCUUAGCCCACGGUGCUCCAUCUUUCUCCACUUGCACCCUCAAUUUCUCUCCACUUCAGGCAUCGACAGAUCCUCACUCUGAAGACACCAGGGAAAUGUCACUGUCUCGUCUGACUCGGGGAUCUCUUGCGCGACCUGUGAGAAGGAGGCUUGGGCCCGAAGGCUCUCUGUGGGGAGGACAUGCCUGUUCACCCCAGUCCCCGGGCUCGUCUUGAGUCCAGGGCUAGAUCCUGCUGGUCUUGGAGAGGCAGAAACACUGAAAAUGGGACCCCGGGGUGCCUCGUGCCAGUGAGCACACAGUGAUGCUCAGUGGGCACGAUGCUGGAGGGGCUGCAACACGCCUGCAGCUGGGCAGAGACCCAGACAGCCCCAGAGGACCUGGCCACCCCUCUGCCAUCCUGCUGAUGGAUCUGAGCGUUUCUGUUGUGGCUCCCUCCUGGUGAACACAGUCCCGCUGUCUGUGCUCGGUGCCUGGUAGCGUAGGCUCAGCUGCACACACAGGCUUUUUUAUUGUAGGGUCACACGGGGCUGGAGCUCUCUGGCAGAGGCACAGUCUGUGCCAGAGCUGGCAGCAGGAUGGGCACUUGCAUGGAGACCCUGUGCACGUUUUGGGGCGGGCAGGGGAUAUUUAUUUAUUUGUUAGUCUGUUCAGCCUUGCUGUAACAAAACAGCCUGAUCCAA